GAGUAACACGUGGGCAAUCUGCCCUGCACUUCGGGAUAAGCCUGGGAAACUGGGUCUAAUACCGGAUAGGACCUUUAGGCGCAUGUCUUUAGGUGGAAAGCUUUUGCGGUGUGGGAUGGGCCCGCGGCCUAUCAGCUUGUUGGUGGGGUGAUGGCCUACCAAGGCGACGACGGGUAGCCGGCCUGAGAGGGUGUCCGGCCACACUGGGACUGAGAUACGGCCCAGACUCCUACGGGAGGCAGCAGUGGGGAAUAUUGCACAAUGGGCGCAAGCCUGAUGCAGCGACGCCGCGUGGGGGAUGACGGCCUUCGGGUUGUAAACCUCUUUCACCAUCGACGAAGGUCCGGGUUUUCUCGGAUUGACGGUAGGUGGAGAAGAAGCACCGGCCAACUACGUGCCAGCAGCCGCGGUAAUACGUAGGGUGCGAGCGUUGUCCGGAAUUACUGGGCGUAAAGAGCUCGUAGGUGGUUUGUCGCGUUGUUCGUGAAAUCUCACGGCUUAACUGUGAGCGUGCGGGCGAUACGGGCAGACUAGAGUACUGCAGGGGAGACUGGAAUUCCUGGUGUAGCGGUGGAAUGCGCAGAUAUCAGGAGGAACACCGGUGGCGAAGGCGGGUCUCUGGGCAGUAACUGACGCUGAGGAGCGAAAGCGUGGGGAGCGAACAGGAUUAGAUACCCUGGUAGUCCACGCCGUAAACGGUGGGUACUAGGUGUGGGUUUCCUUCCUUGGGAUCCGUGCCGUAGCUAACGCAUUAAGUACCCCGCCUGGGGAGUACGGCCGCAAGGCUAAAACUCAAAGGAAUUGACGGGGGCCCGCACAAGCGGCGGAGCAUGUGGAUUAAUUCGAUGCAACGCGAAGAACCUUACCUGGGUUUGACAUGCACAGGACGCGUCUAGAGAUAGGCGUUCCCUUGUGGCCUGUGUGCAGGUGGUGCAUGGCUGUCGUCAGCUCGUGUCGUGAGAUGUUGGGUUAAGUCCCGCAACGAGCGCAACCCUUGUCUCAUGUUGCCAGCGGGUAAUGCCGGGGACUCGUGAGAGACUGCCGGGGUCAACUCGGAGGAAGGUGGGGAUGACGUCAAGUCAUCAUGCCCCUUAUGUCCAGGGCUUCACACAUGCUACAAUGGCCGGUACAAAGGGCUGCGAUGCCGCAAGGUUAAGCGAAUCCUUUUAAAGCCGGUCUCAGUUCGGAUUGGGGUCUGCAACUCGACCCCAUGAAGUCGGAGUCGCUAGUAAUCGCAGAUCAGCAACGCUGCGGUGAAUACGUUCCCGGGCCUUGUACACACCGCCCGUCACGUCAUGAAAGUCGGUAACACCCGAAGCCAGUGGCCUAACC
rnacentral:rRNA from 1 species